rnacentral:rRNA from 1 species
CCUACGGGUGGCAGCAGUAGGGAAUAUUGCUCAAUGGGGGAAACCCUGAAGCAGCAACGCCGCGUGGCGGAUGAAGGGUUUCGGAUUGUAAACUCCUUUUGUUAGAGAAGAUAAUGACGGUAUCUAACGAAUAAGCAACGGCUAAUACCGUGACAGCAGCCGCGGUAAUACGGAGGGUGCAAGCGUUACUCGGAAUCACUGGGCGUAAAGAGCGCGUAGGCGGGAUAGCAAGUCAGAUGUGAAAUCCUAUGGCUUAACCAGAGAACUGCAGUUGAAUCUGGUAGUCUAGAGUAUGGGAGAGGUAGGUGGAAUUCUUGGUGUAGGGGUGAAAUGCGUAGAGAUCACGAGGAAUACUCAUGGCGAAGGCGGCCUGCUAGAACAUAACUGACGCUGAUGCUCGAAAGCGUGGGGAGCAAACAGGAUUAGAUACCCGGGUAGUC